ACCCGAAGCCGGUGGCCAACCCCCUUCUGGGGAGGGAGCUGUCGAGGUGGACUGGCGAUUGGGACGAAGUCGUAACAAGGUAGCCGUACCGGAAGGUGCGGCUGGAUCACCUCCUCU
rnacentral:ncRNA from 1 species